rnacentral:lncRNA from 1 species
UGAUAAAUACUGCUAUAACAUAAUAAUAGGGAAAAACAGACACAUUAAAUAAUAUCGAAGGAAUAAAAUCACCAUCAUCACUUCACUCUCAACAAUAACUAUAUAUAUUCUCUUCAAUUCACAUAUUGCACCAUCUCAUCAUUUUCACACUUAGAACCUCAAGUAUAAACAUCAGACUCUCCUAAGGACCUACAUGAUCAUGGUACCACUCCUACUGACCAUUUUGCCAGAGUUAUGUUACUGGACUUUCUUCAUCACAGUUUUGCCAGAGGUAUGUUACUGGACUUAUCCAUCAAUCUUAGACUCUAAAUGAAUGCAUAGAAAUAAAUUUGAAAGGUGACACACUUAUACACAUAUUCAGAUAAUUCACAAAUUAAUACAAAUCUCGUCCUAAUAUGCAGGACUCUAAUGCAAGCACACAAAUCAUCUUCACUCACAUCAUCAUUAUAUUUUAUAUGUUAUCGACUCUCUUUCACAUAAAAACAUCUAGCAUCAUUACGCUCCUCAUCAUCAUAUUCCGCAUCUAUACAUCUUCGUUAUUAACAUCUUAGGAGUGUGUCUAUAUAUAUAUAUAUAUAUAUAUAUAUAUAUAUAUCCCAUCUUCAUCCUCAACAUUAUUAAUAACCAUGAUUUACACAUCUAUACCUCCCUAGAUUUCUCAUCCUACUGUUUAACUACAUCACCUUUUAGGCUCAUUAUUAUUUUUGGGAGGAUUAAUUCUAAUCAAGUUUAAACCCAUACUCUCAUUUAGUUUUAUAGUUUAGGAACCUUACCCUUCUCGUUAACAAUGUUCUUAAACUCACUAUUAUUGUCUAGGACUGUUUUAAGGCUCAUUGAAAAGAUUAUGCUGAAGUUCCAUGAAAAAGGCAGCAUGACUCAGGUACAAUAAUUUGAUCAUAAAUCAGGUGUAGAAGUCUAAAAUGAGCCAAACUAAAACAAAAAUAAAGCAAACAUGCAUAUCUACAUUUUUCAUGAAGAGACAUAAAUCCAAUUCGAUACAGAUAAGGGUGGAAAGAAUUGUUUUCCUGAACCUAGGCAGAUUGCAUGACGGUGCUGACCCCUGUGUAGUAUUUUGAUCAUAACGUACGUUGUGGAUGUAUGAAGGAGGUGAGACCAAAGCCAAUGGAACGCUAACACGCAUACCUACAACUUUCAUGUUUACACCGAAACUCAAUUCAAAACGGAAAAUGGUUAAAAAAAAACAGUUUUUAUUUGUUGUUAAGUUGGGCUAACAAAAUGGGGGGCCGAAUUUCCAAAAUGAGUUUUCUUCCAAUUAAUAAUUUUUAACACACUUAUCUCAAUCCAAUUACACUCCAACUGUCCCUAAUUUUCACUAUAGAUUUGCCCUACGGUUUGGGCAUUAAUUUCCUCUUAACCUAUCCUAUUUUACACUCGUUCAGGUUCAUGUUCUUAACCCUAACAUCUAAACUAGGUACCCUUGAUAUUACUCUUUCAACAACAAUUUUACACUCAUUUAUCAUAAUUUUUAGUGGAACUCUUCCUCAUAACAAUAAUCAUAACUUAAUAAUUAAUAAACCCAACAACGUCCUCAUCACCAUCAUAACCACACUCAUACAUUAACCCCCUUUAAAGCCCCACAACAGAAUAGUAAACCCAAGAGAUGAAGAGAUUCUUCCCCUUACCUAAAAUUCGUUGGUUGAAACCUUCAGUUUGGGUUGCUUGCAACUAGGGUUCCGUUUUCUUCUCUGCUUCUCUCUUUUCUCCUUUCACGUUCAGCCAAAAAGAAAACUGACCAAUCUAUUUCCUAAUGUUCUAUAUAUAUUCGGGACAACACUCGUCAUAAACUCUUCUAGUGUUGAUUACUAUUCUUCUACUCUUUCCCUCCCCCACUUAUUUCAAUAUUAAUUUUUGCACACGUGUCAAACUCUCUUUUUUUGUUUGUUUUUAAUUUCUCAUCACGACUCACAACAUAAAUUACACGACAACAACAAUAAUAUCAAUCCAUUCACUUACUCACUACACUUAACAUAAUAAUAUUAAACAUAAAUUAAAGUGGGGUGUUACAUAAGCGACAACAACACAAUCCUCGACACUUCUCCCUCCACAUCCUCUGUGCAGGAUGGUGUUCCUCUACCUCCAUCGCUUCUUCCAGUUUAUCCUCCGCUGGAGACGAACAAAAUCUUGACGAAUCUGGUGAACUUCCCCAACAACAAAAUAAUAGACUCAAAGACAUAGAAAAGAAAUAGGAGAAGAUUCCAAUGAAAUUUGAUACGAAGAGCGAGAUCGCUUCCUCCGUUCCAAAGAUUCCCCAAAAACUUGAAUCGAGAAGGCUGCAGAUGCUCCCGCAGCUAUACUCAUCGUGGUGAAUUGCUGUGAGGAUUAGGCAAGUGUACCAAAUUGUUCACCAAGUAAUAAAGUGAUAAGUAGAGUAUGGUAUAAAAAUUAAGGGUUUAGAAAGCUUGCAAUUUUUAUAUGUUUGCAACAGAGAAAGUUUACGUAUUUUUAGUUGCAGAAAAGCAAGCAGCGGUAAGGAUUCUUCGAAUCCCCUCUGGUUAUAUUGUUGGAUAUUAAGUUGGGGAAAAGUAAACUUAAAAGUAAUGUCGCAUUUAUUUAUAUUUGGUAGACUGUACAAGUGAUGAGGUCGUUGGGACGUUUCUAACCUAGUCGGUCGUCAAGUUGAACCUUCUGAUCGCUUGGUGAUCCUUACGUGCGGGGUCUUAUUAUCCCAGUUGAUUAUAGGUCUAUCGCUCCGAUGGCUAAUUGGACCGGCUGAUGGCACGGUGAUCCUUACGUGCGGGGUCUUGUUAUUUCAAAGGUAAUUGAAACAUAAAAUUAAAUUGGCAUUCUUGUUUUUCCGAAGGCAAUGAAGGACAAGGUUCCAUUAUUUCAGCCCAUCUAUAAAUCUUAGGUAACUCAUAGCACACCCUCUCUCCCUCUUAGUAGUUCUAAAAACGGGAAGCCCUAUCUCGUCUACCUUACCAAGGGUUUUAAGAGAAUGGUUCUAUAUGACUUAUUUCCUUCAAGCAAGUACUUGUUUCCUUAAUUAUUAACCGGUUACAUCCUAGGUUCAGCAGAAUUACUACUUAGUCUUAGUAAUGUCACCUCCUAAGUACUUACCACUAGGGUCAACUCUCUUUCAGUAUCUUUCGCUAAUUACAAAUUAAUGACUUCCUAAACAGAUAGUAGUUAGUAUAAGGAUAUAAAUAUCAAGAUAUCAACAUCCAGAUAGUAAUAACAAUAUUAGGCUCUGUCACAACCUAAGUAUCUAAUCUAGGGUUGCACCGAUUACAGAAAUGAACUAAGGAAUUUCGUAAUAAAACAUAAUAGCAAACAAAAGAUAAAUAAAAUAAAACGAUAUUAUAAUAAAUAAAUAUCCAACAAAAAUAAAUAGAGGUUCAUCUUAGAACUCUCAGCUAAAAAGAAUUAGUUACACAUGGUAACUAAACGACAUUAAAAACAUACCCUAGAAAAUCAAGGAGAAGAUAAAACUCUCCUGAAGCUCCAAAGUUUUCUUCCUUUUGAACUGCCAUAGUUCUGAAUGACGUAUUUAGAGUGGAGAUUUCUAUCUGGUUUGAGCUUAAAACGCGGGCUAAACACACAAAAAUGCAUAAAAUUACGUCUGUUCCCCUUGCAUUUUCAAAUGCUCGGGGCGCAUACCCUAUGACCAAUUGGGGGCACGAGACACAACAUUCAAAGCAUUUUCAUCAUUGCCCAGCAUCUAAUAUCCCGCGUCAGAAAAACCAUCAGAGUAACUGUUACAUUAGUGGGCUAGGUGUAUAAAAAGUAACUUCCACAUUUUCCACUAACAGAGCUAUCAAAGGUAGAACUGUCAAAACGGGCGGGCCGACCCGAAUGGGCCACGGGCUUUUGAGGGCCGGGCUAAAAAGCCCAGUUUAAAUAUGGGCCUGAAAAAGAGAGCCCGAGCCCGGCCCUAUACGGGCUUCCGGGCUAACGGGCCAGCCCUGGGCUGUAUUUUUUUCUUCCCUUUUCCAUUCUUUUAAGUACUGCACAUGUAGAAUAACAUAAAUAUAUCGGGCUAACGGGCCAGCCCGGGCCCGUAUAUGUUUUUUUUCCUUCCUAUUUUUUAAGGAUUGAACAAAAUAAUUUAAAUAUACACAAACAGUGAACAAAAGAUAAAUUAAGAUUGAUCCAAGAGAAUAACAAUUAUCCAUAAUAACAUUAACACAAUCACCAAUUAUCCAGAAUGAAGAUUCUAGAUUCAAAAUAACAUAACAAAAGUUUUAAUCCAAAAAGUCACUCCCAACAACGUCACUUAAUCUUCUUCAAGGUUCACAACAUCCAUAGUAUUGUUUGAUGCUUGUCCGCUUCCAUGAGUUUCAUCUUCUUGAACAUCAUUGUUGUCAUCAUAUAAUUCUACAAAUUACAAAAUUUGAUUGUUAAAUAUAGAGAUUAAAAAACCACUUCAGUAUUGAUAACUAAAAAUAAAUCAAUUACUGUGAGAAUGACCAUUGAACAAAAUUCAAUCAUGAAAGUCCAAUAAUAUUGCGUACCGACUAUCUAAUCUAGCAUUCAAGAUUUAUAGCAACAACAAAAUGAGCAGAUGCUUCCUUUCAUCUAGGCUCAAAUGGCUCAUUCUAGCACUAUGCAUGUGGAUCAAAUGAAUUCUCGGUCCUUGUGUAUGACUAUAUGAAUUCAAACAUUCCUUGUUCUUUGAAAUGUUUUGAUUCAUAAACUAAAUUGUCAUAUAAGUUUUGAUUCACAAAUAUCAGUUUCUGCAAUAGGUUCAGUUACUUUUCAUUCAUGAGUUUCACAUCAAACUCAUUUCAGUCAGUUCUCUUGACAAUAAUAUAAACUAUAAAACAAUUGUAAAAAUGAUAGAACUAUAAAAACCAUACCUUCAAAACCAUGUAACCAGCUAUGUGCGCACAAGAGAGCCUGAACAGAAUCAUCUUUCAUUGAACUUCUAUACCUAUUCACAACUUGGGCGCCAAUACUAAACGUAGAUUCUAAUGCCACUGUUGUUAUUGGAAUACUCAAUAUAUCGCAAGCCAUCCUUGCAAGAUUUGGACUUCUGCGACUUCUUUCCUUCCAAAAAGCUAAGACAUCAAAUUCAAGAGAUAGAGGCAUCCGCAACUCAUCUAAAUAAGUAUCAAGUUCUGAUUUUCCGGUGUUGUUACUUGAUUGGCUUUCAUAUUCUUCAAAUUCCUACAAAUCAUCCAACCUAACCAAGUUACAAAAUAUUCAUACAAACAAAAACAAAAGAAUUAAUAAAAGAAUAAAAUAAAGAAAGAAUGUAUGAACUUACAUCAUAUGAAGAUGACGUAAUUCGAGUUCCUCCACCAUAGCUAGGCUGGACUUGUGAAGAGCUUAGAUAAAAAGGAAUUCCAUUCUUGAUGUACUAGGAAAAAAGCUUCCCCAAAGUCAUCUUAACUUUUUUCAACUUCUCCUCACUAGUGAGUGGGUCAAGUUUUUCAUAAGCAAAUUUCAAAAAGUUAAACUUUUUGGUUGGAUCAAGAACAGCCACAACUGCCAAAACAACAUUAUAGUCACUACAAUACUUAUCAAAUUUCACCUUCAUACUUUCAGCCAUUUUUUGAAUUAAAAGAUCUUCACUUGUCAAAUAAGAUCUUAUGAGGCACUCAAUCUUCCAUAUUUCACCAAAGUACAGAUUUGAUGUAGGAUAUGAAGAGCCAGAUAUCAAGUUUGUAAUAGUGAAAAAUGGCUUCAAAAUCUCACACAUUAUUUCAGCCCUUCUCCACUCUUCACUUGUAGGACAACGCUUAAAAUUUGAAUCCCGUAAACUUAAGCUAUAAAAUGCACGACGAUAAACAAGCGCACUCUGUAGCAUUAUAAAAGUGGAAUUCCAUCGAGUAACACAAUCUAAUCUCAAUCCUAUGGUUGUAUCAAUAUCACCAACAGUUCUAACACAUUCAGAAAAAAGUAGUGUUCUACUUUCUGUUACCCUCACAUAAGCCACACUUUGUCUAAUCUUAUGCAAAGCAUCGCUAACUACCUUGAGUCCAUCUUGAACAAUGAGGUUCAAGAUGUGAGCUGAGCAUCUUAUAUGGAAAAAUUCUCCAUCAAGCAACAAACUAUUUGAUAACCCUAGGUGUUCUUUCAAAAAGUUAGCCAUACUGUUGUUUGCAGAAGCAUUAUCUAAAGUGAUGGAAAAAAAUUUCUUUUCAAUGCCCCAAUCAUCUAACAUUUCCAAAACCUUCAAAGCUAAAUCUCGCCCACUAUGUGGGGGUUCCAUGUGAGCAAAUGCCAAAAUCUUAUUUUGCAACUUCCAAUUCACAUCAACAUAAUGAGCAGUUAAAGAAAUAUAACCUUCAUUGCUGCAUGCAGUCCAACAAUCAGAAGUCAAGCAAACUCUCCCACGAAUUUGAGCUAACUGUGAUUUCAGCUUUUGUUUCUCAUCACGAUAAACAUUCAAAAUCUCUUUGGCUAUAGUAUUUCUACUAACAAAAACACAAUCAUCAUUCAAAAACUUAUGGUAUUAUCUAAACACCCUCCACUCAACCAUAUUAAAUGGUGCACCAUGUGUAAUCAUGAUUCUAGCUAAAAUUUCUCGAUUAGCCAUAGGGUCAAACUUUUUCUUUCUCAAUUUUCCUUCAGCAUCAAUCAUCAUUUCACCCACAUCAUGAUUAUUGAUAGUCUUGCUACAACUAAGUACAUGACGCUUUAAAUGACUAGUUCCGCUUCCUGAUUCACAAGUCAAUAAUUUUUGAGACGCCUUGCAUCUACAUUUCUCUACUCCAUCUACAAUACCAACUUUCACAAGAUAUUGCCACACGUCAUAUGUUAGGGCUUUACCCUUGCUCUUGACCUUGCCCGUAGCCUUGUCCUUAGCCUUAGCCUUAGCCUUGCCCUUACGCUUCUUAUCCUUUGGAUCAGAAGACACUUCUUGUGCAUUUUGAUCAAUUGGUGGUACUGGUGGAAUUUCCCUAGCUUGGCUCUCAAUUUCCCCAUCAACACACAUAUUUUGAUGACUUCCACUACCAUCAGUAUCACUAUCCCUCAUAUUUGAAGCACAAACAGAUUGUAAUUCCUACAAAAUUAUAUGCCAAAUUAUAAGUCAAUUCAUUUAGAAGUUCUAGCAGUACGGUACCAAUACGACAACACAAAUAGUCAUGAUGUCAAAUUAAAUUUUACUAACCAAACAUGUCAAAUUAAAUUUUACACUUUUAAAAUCAACUUUUUCUCAUUCAAAGCAAACAUACAUCACAUAAAAGUAACAUCUCUGAUCCAAAAAAAACCCACCACCCUGUAAUUACAGUCAAAGUAAGUAUUUGCAAAUGGCUAGUUAACAAUGGUUAAAAUAAAGCUAUAUCCCUUGAUUAAAAAAAAAACAACAAGCAAAAGUUUUGAUGCUUAUUUUGUCUGCAAAACAAAACUGUGUGUAAGUAACUGUCUCUUUUGUUCCUUCUUCCUAUUUUAUUCAAUUUUAUCACCCAAAGUACCACCAUAUCAUCAUUGAUCCUACCGUACAUCAACAACAUACACUAAAAUAUUUGUUCGUUACUACAUUGAAAUUUUAAACACAUAUUCAUAAAACCAAGAAGAAGAAGAAAAAGAAAGAUGCUUCCUCCUUUAAGAAGAUUCUACGGGUUUGAGAGUUGGAUGGAUAAUAAAUAGUUAGAGGAAAUCAACUGUGACAAAUCAAAAUCAGAGAGAAAGGAGACUAUUCAAAGAAUAAACACUAUUCAAAUUAAAUUUUACACUUUUAAAAUCAACUUUUUCUUAUUCAGACCAAGCAUACAUCACAUAAAAGUAAAGUGAAACAAACUUCAAAUUUCACCUAUUCAAACCCUAAUUUCAACAGAUAAACGAAGAAGAAGAAGAAACGAACCUGGAAAACGAUGAAGAAGAAGAAGAAGAAGAAACAUAGUUGUUGAGCCUGAAUUAGAAACAGAGCUGCUGAGCCUGAAUUAGAAACCAAGAAAACUGAGGAAUAAAGAAAGGAGGAAACAAAGAAGACGAAGAAAGGAAGAAGACGAACAAGUGUCUGUGUGGGUGACUGUGUGAUCGAAGAAAUCGAAGAAGAUGAUGCUUGGGUUGGGAAGGGCUUCGCGUGCAUGAGUGAGCUUGUGAACUGAAGAAGAUGAUACGACGAUAGAGAUUAGAGAGAAAAUAGUGGAGUGUGAGUCUGUGACGUGAGUGUAUUAGGGUUUUUUAGGAUUAAAAAUAAAUUUGGGCCGGAUCCUGAUAUUGGGUUGUCCAGUCCAGGUCCAGCAAACACCACACAAAAAAUGACCCACUCUUAAUUUUUUGCGGGCUGCCCGUGGCCCGAACGGGCUCCGGGCUUUUUCGGGCCGGGCUAAAAAGCCCUGGAAAAAUUCGGGCUGCAAUUAUUAGGCCCAAGCCCUACGUUUUAUUCGGGCUUUCGGGCCGGCCCAUACGGGCGGGCCCGUUUUGACAGCUCUAAUCAAAGGCAAAGUGUCCAGAAUCUGGAGUUCAAACUCUGAUGACCUUCAAAGGCUGGAUUUCUUCAGAGUCUGAAUGAAGAGAAUCUGAUAGACCUUUGCUUCUGAACUUCUUUAGAUUCUAAAUUCCUAUUAAGAAUCAAGCACUAAUCAGAGACAUGAUGCAUGUUCAAAUUUUUCCUAAUAAAAUCAAAUCUUUUAAUAGUUAAAGGUUUUGUGAAUAUAUCAGCCCAUUGAUGUUCAAUAUCAAUGAAUUGUAUAUCCAAAGCAUCUUUUUCAACAUAAUCUCUUAAAAAAUGGAGUUUAAUCUCAAUAUGCUAUGCUAUAAAAUGUAGAAUUAGAUUCUUUGACAAACAAAUAGCAACAAUACGAUCAUAAUAAAUGGGAAUAUUGUUUUGAUUAAUAUGAUAAUCUUCUAAGUGAUGUUUCAUCCAGAGUAGUUGUGUGCAACAACUUGCAGCUGAGAUGUAUUAUGCUUCUGCUAUUGACAAUGCAAUAGUUGAUUGUCUUUUGCUAGCCCAGGAUAUCAGAUUUUCACCAAGAAACUGACAGUUUCCACUAGUUGAUUUUCUUUUAAUGCUAUCACCAGUAUAAUCAUCAUCAUAGAAUCCAACCAACUUAUAAUCUAAGGAUUUGUUAUAAAGAAGUACAAGAUUAGUUGUUCCUUUCAAAUAUCUAAAGAUUCUCUUAACAACUGUUACAUUAGAUUCUCUAGAAUAUGAUUGAAACGUUGAACACAAGCAUACAAUAAAUAAAAUAUUAGGUGUAGAUGUAGUUAGGAAUAACAGUGAACCUAUUAUACCUCUAAACAACUUCUGAUCUACCUUAGCUCAUGUAUCUUAUUUGCUUAAGGUGCAGGUUGGAUGUAUUGAAGUGUUCAUCUCUUUACAAUCAUCAAGCUUGAACUUCUUCAGAAGCUCCUUUCUGUAUUUAGAUUGAUGAACAUACACUCCAUAUUUCGAUUAGUUGAUUGUAUACCAAGAAAGAACUUCAAUUCACCAAUCAUACGCAUUUGCAAAGAGAUUCAUUAGUAGAACCAAAUAUUAUAUCAUCAACAUAAAUAUGCAAGAUAAAGAUAUCUUAAAAUUCCGGCACGUUACCUUACAGAUGUUCUUAAGAUGUUCCAACACCAUACACAAAUUACGAAUGUUGAAUGUAAUGUUUAGAACAUCAAGCUAACAAAUAUAAAUAAAAUGAUGCAAGCAUAAAAGAUGUAACACCCUCUUUAAUUAUUUGAGUAUUUUAUUGAGUUUAGAGUAUAUUUAUGCGAUUUACAUGAUUUAUGUGAUUUAUAUGAUUUAUGUGAUGUGUGUUAUUUUAUUAAGUGGUCUUAUUUUAUUAUUUAAUAGAAUAACAUUUGAAAAUAAAAUAAAUAUUGAGAUGAUGGGUUGUUUUGAGAAUUUAGAGAGUUUUGUGGAAAAAGAGGAAAUAAGAUAAAAUAGAUGGGAAGAGAUAAAUAGGAGAAAACUAGGUUUAGAAUUGUUUUCACGAACAAUCAAUUUUUGGAGAAAAGGGAGAACAAGAGAAGAGAAGAACCAAGAGAGGCUGCCCGAUCGAUUUACUAAGGAAAGGGUGGGACUAACAUUCAAUCUUCUUAAGCCUAUGAUUCUGAUAAUUAGAUUUAACAUGUUGUAGGUUUAGUUUUGAGAAUUUGGAAUUAGGGUUAAAAGUGAUGAAUUGAUGAUUAGAUGAUGAAAAACUGCUGAAUUGAUGUAGAAAGUGUGUACAGACCUUGGAUAAUCCAUAAGGUGAUGUUUAUAAUCAGUUUUAAGGUUAGAACCAUAUGAUUAGGUGCAUUUUCGUGAAAAUUUGCAUUCUGCCCGAGCUAACAUUCAUCGCUCGCCUCGCCUCGCGAGGGAUGAAGUUCAUCGCUCGCCUAGCGAGCAAUUCCGCCUCGCCUCGCGAGUUAAACUUUGUAGCUCGCCAUAGCGAGCAAAUCACUCGCCAUAGCGAGUUGACCAGUGAGGAAAACCUAAUUUUGAGAAAUAACUCCUUUAGUCGAGUUUUAGAUGGUUUUGGAUGUCCUAACAUGUAUAAGAAUGAUUAGGCAAGUUUUUAGAUUGAAAUUGAACAGAGAUAAGUUAAAAAUGGGAUUUUUGGGUGAAAAAUGUCAAGUUCCAGAGAGCACACAGUUCCUAGCUCGCUAAUGCUAGCAGCUUUUUUCUGAACUCGCCGUAGCGAGUAGAGUGGCUCGCCUCGCGAGCUGCACAGGGGCAGACUACCUUGUUUAGGGUUCUUGCGAUUCUUGUCGCACGAGAUGUUAUGAGUUGAUCCUUAGGGUAGGAAUGAAGGUUGGUUAUAAUACUGCUAUUGUUCAGAGAGUCUGAUACAAGAUGAUUUGAUGUUGUUAGUUAUGUGAUAUAAUUGUAUAUCAUUAUGUGGAUUAUAUAUGAUGUUUAAGUUGUUGUUGAUUAUCAUUUGAUAUUGUUAUAUCUUGAGAUGUUUACGUGCUGCCUAUGUUGCUGUUAAAAUAUUAAUCAAGUUGCAUGUGUUGGUCUAAGAUGUAAGAUGUUGUUCCAAAAUGUUGGAGUCAUAUAAGAUGUCGAUGUUGUCUAAGUUGUAAGAUGUUGAGUCCAUGCAUACUCAUUUAAGUUGAGGGCUUGAUGCCCUGUUAGCUUUUGAUCUAUACGUUGAGGGCUUGAUGCCCUGUGAGAUUUUGCUCUUUAUGUUGAGGGCUUGAUGCCCUGUGAGGGUAUUUAUGCUCUUAUGUUGAGGGCUUGAUGCCCUGGUUGGUACCACAUGCAUGAUUAAGAAGAUGAAGUUGCAUAGUCAAGUCGAAGUUGCAUUGUCGAGUCAAGUUGUUAAGUUGAUAAGUUGUUAUCCAUGAGUUGUUAAGUUGAUAUGCUUUUAAUGAAGUGCUUAAUGAAGAAUUAUUAUUAUGAUGCAUUGAUGAUGUUUAUGUUGUUAAAUAUAAUUGAUGAAUUAUAUGCUUAAUAUUAUUGUUUGUGAAAUCUCACCCCUUCUGCUUGGAAAUGUUGCCUCUAUACGUGGGUAACUUGCAAGUAACUAAGAUUAGUCGCGGUCGUGAGUGGAUUCUGCUUGGAAGUGUGAGUGGAUGCUCUGAUACGUAACGAGAUGAGAUUAUGUUAUUGUUUUCUGUUCCUUACGUAUUACUUUAUGAAGUUUCAUGACUAUGUUGUCGGAUUUAAUUUUAUGAGAAUUUUAUGAUGAGGCCUUCGUGCCAAAGAUUGUUUAAAGUUGAAUAAAUUCCGCUGCGAAGUAUUAGAUAUUAUAUUGUUGGAUUUUGAAGGAUAAAUAGUUAUUUAUCUCCGUUUAUGAUUUUGUGAAAAGAAGUGUGACAUUCCGUUUAUGUUGAAAUACUCUGAUUAUUUAUGUGAAAUUUUUAUGUUGGGAAAACAGGGUGUUACAAUUGGUAUUAGAGCAGGUCGGUCCGUCCGGCCAAGUAGUUGAGUCAAGUCGUGUCGAGUAACAGUUGUAAUAUUGUCUAUGUUUGGCCGAGAUUUUGAAAUUGAUUUGGUUUGUUUACCUUUGAGUGGAAUGGAUGUAAUCCUUGGUAUGGACUAGUUAGAGUACAACCAUGUUCAUAUUAAUUGUUUUAGUAAGUCAGUGUACUUUUCUUUUGCUGAAGAAGAAAGUGGAGCAGAGUUCUUGUCUACUAAGCAGCUGAAGCAAUUAGAACAUGAUGGAAUUUUGAUGUUUUCCUUGAUGGCGUCUUUGUCUAUUGAGAAUCAAGCAGUGAUUGAUAAGUUACAGGUUGUAUGUGAUUUUCCAGCAGUUUUUCCUGAUGAAAUUCCUGAUGUGCCUCCAGAAAGUGAGGUUGAAUUUUUUAUUGAUCUUGUUCCGGGUACGAAGCCUGUGUCUAUGACACCUUACCGUAUGUCGGCUCAUGAGUUGGCUGAGUUGAAGAAACAGUUAGAAGAUUUACUAGAUAAGAAGUUUGUAAGACCAAGUGUUUCACCGUGGGGAGCGCCGGUAUUGCUAGUUGUUAUCUUGAUUUUGGGGUGUCAAGUCAUUAAUUAGGCUUGAACCUUUUAAUCUUUGAUAUUCUCUAUUUUUCUUUGGGGAAGGGUAAAAUUGAGAGAAACCCUUAGAAAUUCUAAGUUCGGGGGUCGUUUUCAUUACGGGAAGGUAUUAAGCACCCGAAACGACUAUAAUAUUCUAUAGGAACCGCUUUCCUAGCUUUAUGUCUACGCUUUUACUUUUAUGCUUAUUUAUGGAAAAUGAGAGUUUAUUUAGCUUAAGAAUGGGGGGAAGAAGGUGUAUGAGAUUUUAUUUUUAUUGGACUUGGAGAGGUUUUGACCUCUUGCCUACAUACCCUCUUAAGGGAUCAAAAUUCCAUGUAGUUCUCUUCCAAAAAAUAAUUAGUGUGUUUCAAUUGAUUUUAAGUUUUUGAAAAUGGUUUUGAAGAAAAUAAAGAGGCCGUAAAGGCAUAAGAGAAGAAAUAGUGAAUUGUUGGUUCAAUUAUUAAAGGAAAAAUGUCUAAGUAGGAAUUAAAAUUCAUUGAAGUUUUGGUUAAGAAAAUAAAGGAGAAUACAAUGGAGUUUUGACUCCAAGGUUUAUUAGGGAAAAAAUUUCAAGUGAUGGAAUUUGCUAUCUUUUUUAAAAAAAUGAAUAUUUUCUAAGUAACGCGCUUCCUAAACAUACAUCUAAACGGUAAACAUACAACGUGUGUGCAUGUCGGUGCUUUUGUCGGUGCUUGUGUCGGUGUACAUCAUUAGAGAAUCCAUUGUCCGUUACAUAGGCCCUAGUUUACAUUCUAUGGUCUUGCAAGGAUUUAAAAGGCAAAAUUAAACUACCUAGAAUAUUACUUGCCAAUUUAACAUAGAAAUAAAAGAAUAAAAGCCUAAACUAUAAGAAAUGGAGAUGAAAGGGUGAAAUGCUCAUGGAAUGGAUGAAACGUGAAAUGAAGUGGUUAGUAAUAUAAGGCAUAAAAUGGUAAGAAACAAGUAAGGAAAUAUUUGAAUAGAAUGGCAAAAAGGAGAGUAACAAAGUGGUAAAAUAUAUCCAAAACUUGCCAUAACACCUAAACAUGCAUAUGACCUAUAAUUUCCUCAUUAUAGCAACUUUGGAAGGGGUUUUAUUUUAAGCCAUAAUGUGAGAAUAACAAGGACACAUUCAAGUCAAGAAUUAUACCAUGUUUAUAGAGAUAUUUUGCACUUUAUUUCUUGAGAAAAACACACAUUACUUGCAAAACAAGAAAUUGAAAAUUUACAUCACAUGAACAGUAAAACACACAUAUGAUCAGAGGCAUAUUCAUCACAAAAUUGCAUACCAAUCACUCAUAUCAUAUAUCAAAAGAUUAUGGACAAAAAACAUAGCAAAAAUUCUCAAGAAUUAAUUAAAAAGGAAAAGAAACAUCAAGAACUAGCACACCUAUCUUUUCAACUUUUUUUACAUGUAAAAAUACCACAAAAAUAUCAAAAAUGUAUCAAGAAACACAUAGGAAUUUUUAGGAAUUUUUAUAAAAAUAAUUGAGCAACCAGGAGGUCCAAAUAGCAAGAAACAGGGGUGUGCAUAGCAAGAAAAUAUCAAAAACGCAGAAAAAACCAAAAGAAUUACGCCCAAGCCCAAAACCACAGAAUCCGGAUCACAAGGAGCGUUGGAUUGAUCCAAGAUCAAAAACCCUAGAUCUAAAGGCUCACAUUCAAAGGAACUGAACCGAAAUUGAACCAGUCCGGUUCAGUUGCCUAUAAAUAUAAGUUCACACCGGUUUAUUCAUUUGCACUCAUCUCUCUCUCUCUUCACUCAUCUCUCUCUCUUCUCUCCUCGCCGGUUUCUAGUUUUGCAUGCCGGAGAAGAUGAAGGUUGGCCGGCAUAAAUUUUUUCAGAAAUUCAAAAUUCUUACAUCAAUCUUCUCGUUUCUUAAUUCUAAACAUGAUUCUGGCACUGGUUUUUACAGGCAAGGCUUAGAUCUUUGUAGAUCUAAAGUUUUUUAUUACGGUUUUGAAAUUUUUUAGGGUUUCAAACUUUGAAUCAAACUUUUAUUUCUUCUGGAUCUACAUUGAUUUAUCCUUGUUGAUACUAUUCUUCGGAAAAACUUGGUACGAUUCUGUUGUUGAUUUUGCUGCUUUGAAACCGAAAAUAAAUCGGUGUUUCUUCACUGUUUCUUCGUGAUCCUCGCCGGAAACUUCAUCUUCUUUAUCUUUAUAUCUUCACUGAUUUUUCUUCGUGAUCGGUGCCUGAAUUCGCUGCUUCCGGCGGUGGAUUCGCACCUUGUAUUGCGAAGCAAAAGAUUCGAUGAUGAUGAUUCUCUAUGAAUAUCUUGAGUUUUUUGCAUGGUGAAUUCUGUUUUUGAUCCUAACUGAAAAGGUGAAUUCUGUUUUUGAUCCUAACUGAAAAGAAAGAGAAAGAAAUUUCUGUUUUGUUGAGGUGGCGAAAAUUCUAUGGCUUUGAUCUGACACAGUGGCUAUCUAUAGCCUGCCAUGUGUGCAUUUGAACCAAUAAAAAAAGGACACUUGGAUUUGAAAAGAAAAAACUCGGCCUUGCACAAUUUUGUGCUUUGGGGACCUUUCUGCAAAAUAACAAACUUGAAGGACUAAAAUGCAAUUAAAGAAAAAGGACUAAAAAGCAAAAUAAAAGAAAAUGGGACUAAAAUGCAAUUUUGGAAACUGUUUGGACUAAAAAUGCAAAAAUAAAAAUAAAAUUGGAUUAAAAUUGGAAAUUGGACAAAACGUAAAGUGAAACCCAAAAAUAAAAUCAACAAAAGGACUAAAAUGAACCAACUACUGACAUAAUGAUUUAUAAAACAAGUUGAAAAGACUCAAAUCACAAGGGCUAAAAUGGGUUCCACUGCAGGAAAUGAUCAAGACACCCUUUUGUAUGAUUUUUGAAACAGAGACGGUAAAAAGUACAUGAAACAGAGUUGAAGGUUCAGAGUAAAACAACAGUAAAUUGACAAUUAUCAGUAGUAGAAAAAAAAAUUAAAUGAGUAUUUUUAGGUCCAAAAUCAGGGUAUAACAGCUGCCCCUAUUUAAGUUUCUUUGUCCGAAGGGUCAAGAGACGGAGUCUUUGGCUUGACGGGACAAAGAUACUUAAAUAUCAACAUUUGCACUGUUUUUUGGACGUAAAAAUACGCUUGCACAUUUUCAAAUAUCAUGAAUGCCAUGCAACAUUUGGAUUAUGAAUGCAAGACGAACGAAAGUUGGAAUUAACAAAAGAUGCCGUAUCUAUUGCGGGAUUGGUAGACAUUGACAAGAUAGCAGAUAACAGGGUAAACAGGGAACUAGAAGCAAAUUGACGCGUACAAGCUGUUCUUGGAUUGAACUGGGCACUUGACCGGGGAUGAAGGCAAAUAGACAGGUACGAGUUGUUCUUGGAUUCGAACUGGUCACUCGACCAAAAUCAUAGACACAUAGACAGGUACGAGCUGUUCUUGGAUUCGAACUAGUAACUCGAUCGAUAACAUUGGAAAGUAAACGGGUACGAGUUGUUCUUGAAUUUGAACUGGUUACUCGACCGAUAACAGAAAUAAAUUGACAGGUACAAGCUGUUCUUGGACUUGAACUAGCCACUUGACCAAACAGAAACAAAUAGACAGGUACAAGCUGUUCUUGGACUUGAACUAGCCACUUGACUAAACAGAAACAUAGUUCACUGGGGAUUUUAACAAAAUACAGAUUGAUAUUGACUUGACAUUGAUUUGAUUUGAAAGGUAGAAAUUUGACCAAUAACAUUGGCUCACAAGAUUUUGACAGAGAACUUGACAUAAGCAUUGAAUUGAGACAGAUGUUGACAUUGGAAAUGCAACAUGCAUGGAUGAUAUAACAGUUUCAUUAAAUGCAUGGGCACGUAGUAUGCAUGAUUAUGCAUGUAUGGAUGCUUGAAAUGCAUGAUGGUUGGCAAUUUGUAAGACAGUUUCUCAGACAAGACAUCGGAGUGUUGGGCACGUAGUGGCUCGUGCUAUAUCACACAUUCCUGGAAAUCCUCUUUGGAGAUAUCGUCGUUGGGAGACGUAUCGAAACCAUGGCUGAGGGCAGGGUAGUUAUGCAACUUACUGGGGACCAAGGUUCGGAAGACCUUGUUUAUCUUCUUUUUGGUGAAAACUAGAGUACUACAUAUAGAUAAUCUAAGAUAUUUUGUUUGAUUUUGAAGGAACUCAUUAUUGAAAUUGUAGGCCCUAUGUUUGAAUUAGUUUCUUAACCAAAUUCUGCACUUGAAAUAACUUUUUCAAUUGAAUUUUAUUCCUUUUUUCUUAGCAGAUGAGAAAUGGUAGUGGAGAUAUUAAUGGUUGAGAUGAUAUUGUCCGAUGUUGCUGUGGCUUGGGGUAUAUAUAUAGUUUGAUGAAUAUUAUGUCCAAAGAUGUUUUUAUUUUUUAAAAAAAGAUUAUGCCCAAAGAUGUUAUAGCUUUACGUUGAUAUUACUAUAAUAUAACUUCUUUGAUUGUAUAUAUGCAUGUACUCUUUUAUAUAUAAAAUAUUGAUGUAGCAUUAAAAUAUCAAUAAAUUUUUUCUUAUUUUUAGUAUAAAAGGAAA